rnacentral:lncRNA from 1 species
GGCGGCAUUUGGUUCGACUGGGCCAACUGGGGCCGCGGGUCCCCGGAGCCCGUCAUGGUGCUGCGCACCAAGGAGAUCAAGAACGGCCGCCUCGCCAUGCUCGCCUUCGUCGGCUUCUGGUUCCAGGCCGUGUACACCGGCCAGGGCCCCAUCGACAACCUCCUCGCGCACCUCGCCGACCCCGGCCACUGCAACAUCUUCUCGGUACGCACCUGCACGUGCCCCGGCGCCGGCGCGGCGGCCGGCCUUGCUUGGCUUUGGUUUCUCACCAUUUUACUCAGAAAAUGUUGGGUCUGGUUGGUUUCUUAUACUGCAGGCGUUCACGUCCCACUGAUACGACCAUGCUGUUUCGGAGUUGAAGGCUUCAGGGAGUGAAGUAAGCCAAGAAAAACAAAAGGAUCUGUUCUUUUUUUUUUAGAAUAAUUGGAGUACUUCGCUUGGGCCACGUACGGUAUCAUUUUGGCCUUGGACAUGUCGUUUGUACCUACAUAGAAAUGUUAAACCACUUGUACAAACGUAGUAGAAAUAUAUACCAGGGAUCGCGAUGAUACUAACCAGCACAUUUUGUCCUAAAGCUCCAACACGGUACCGUAUAUAUAGACGGAAUUUAUUGACAUGGACGAUGUAUGUGAACAUGACGUCGUACUAGCUAGUUUACGGUGGAGUGCACAAAGACUACGUGAUGAAGAGUAAAUACUCUACUUUCAGUAUUACAAAAUAAUGGUAUGCUAACAAGAUACUGGCGACAGUAUUAGCAGUAAAACACAGAGCAGCGCCACGCCUUCACCUCACUUGGUCUGUAUACAGUUUCUUCCGUUGUUGGACGGACGUCUGCCAUGGUAUGGGGUACUACAGUGUCAGGUACGCGAGUAUGAAUGAAUGGUCGGGCCAAUGGUACAAAGGAAACAGAUAACGGCGGCAUCAGUGGAUUAUAUUCAGAAACCCAAACACAUCUCCCUCUAUUGUAACUGUUCUUCUUCCUCCUACUAUAGACUACAAUUCUCUCGUGUUCGUGUGUGCCUAGGUUCUUAGCUUCCAUUGUCUUCUAGAACUUUCUAUUAUCACGUACUGUCCUAGUAUGGAUUCUCCCCCUCGUUGCUAAUUGUCCCUGAAUUCCAUCUUAGU